rnacentral:rRNA from 1 species
GUAGUUAGCCGGGGCUUCCUCCCAUGGUACCGUCAUUUCUUUCUUCCCAUAGGACAGAUGUUUACAAUCCGAAGACCUUCUUCCUUCACGCGGCGUUGCUGGGUCAGGCUUGCGCCCAUUGCCCAAUAUUCCCCACUGCUGCCUCCCGUAGGAGUCUGGACCGUGUCUCAGUUCCAGUGUGGCCGAUCACCCUCUCAGGUCGGCUACCCAUCGCCGUCUUGGUGAGCCAUUACCUCACCAACUAACUAAUGGGACGCGAGCUCAUCUUAAAGCGGAUUUCUCCUUUCACCUCUCUGUCAUGCGACAGUGUGGUCAUAUGCGGUAUUAGCAGUCGUUUCCAACUGUUGUCCCCCUCUUUAAAGGCAGAUUGCUCACGCGUUACUCACCCGUCCGCCACUAAGCAUGUUAAUCUUCCGUCCGAAAACUUCCGUCUAACAGCUUCGUUCGACUUGCAUGUGUUAAGACACGCCGCCACGCGUUCGUCCUCGAGCCGACGGAGUACAAACUACCUACGUA